rnacentral:rRNA from 1 species
UACGUAGGGCGCAAGCGUUGUCCGGAAUUAUUGGGCGUAAAGAGCUCGUAGGCGGUUUGUCGCGUCUGCUGUGAAAACCUAAGGCUCAACCUUGGGCUUGCAGUGGGUACGGGCAGACUAGAGUGCGGUAGGGGUGACUGGAAUUCCUGGUGUAGCGGUGGAGUGCGCAGAUAUCAGGAGGAACACCGAUGGCGAAGGCAGGUCACUGGGCCGCAACUGACGCUGAGGAGCGAAAGCAUGGGGAGCGAACAGG